CCCGUUGUACACACCGCCCGUCACACCAUGGGAGUGGUUGUACCAGAAGUAGGUAGAAUAACCGCAAGGGGUUCGCUUACCACGGUAUGAUUCAUGACUGGGGUG
rnacentral:rRNA from 1 species